rnacentral:rRNA from 1 species
UACGUAGGGGGCUAGCGUUGUCCGGAUUUAUUGGGCGUAAAGAGCUCGUAGGUGGUUCGGUAAGUCGGGUGUGAAAUCUCGGAGCUUAACUCCGAAACUGCAUUCGAUACUGCCGUGCUUGAGGACUGGAGAGGAGACUGGAAUUUACGGUGUAGCGGUGAAAUGCGUAGAUAUCGUAAGGAAGACCAGUGGCGAAGGCGGGUCUCUGGACAGUUCCUGACGCUGAGGCACGAAGGUCAGGGGAGCAAACGGG